rnacentral:rRNA from 1 species
UACGAAGGGGGCUAGCGUUGCUCGGAAUCACUGGGCGUAAAGCGCGCGUAGGCGGUGAUCUUUGUCAGAGGUGAAAUCCCGAGGCUCAACUUCGGAAUUGCCUUUGAAACGGGAUCGCUUGAGUCCGAGAGAGGAUGGCGGAAUUCCUAGUGUAGAGGUGAAAUUCGUAGAUAUUAGGAAGAACACCGGUGGCGAAGGCGGCCAUCUGGCUCGGUACUGACGCUCAGGCGCGAAAGCGUGGAGAGCAAACAGG